rnacentral:rRNA from 1 species
UGAGGAAUAUUGGUCAAUGGGCGAGAGCCUGAACCAGCCAAGUAGCGUGCAGGAUGACGGCCCUAUGGGUUGUAAACUGCUUUUAUGCGGGGAUAAAGUGAGGGCACGUGUCCCUUAUUGUAGGUACCGCAUGAAUAAGGACCGGCUAAUUCCGUG